AUUGAACGCUGGCGGCAGGCUUAACACAUGCAAGUCGAACGAGUGGCGGACGGGUGAGUAAUGUCUGGGAAACUGCCCGAUGGAGGGGGAUAACUACUGGAAACGGUAGCUAAUACCGCAUACCAUCCGAUGUGCCCAGAUGGGAUUAGCUAGUAGGGGGGGUAAAGGCUCACCUAGGCGACGAUCCGUAGCUGGUUUGAGAGGACGACAAGCAAGACUGGGACGGAGAAACGGCCCAGACGCCUACGGGAGGCAGCAGUGGGGAAUUUUGGACAAGGGGGGAAACCCUGAUCCAGCCAUGCCGCGUGUGGGAUGAAGGCCUUCGGGUUGGAAAGGACUUUUGGCAGGAAAGCGGUACCUGCAGAAUAAGCACCGGCUAACUACGUGCCAGCAGCCGCGGUAAUUC
rnacentral:rRNA from 1 species